GGUUCCAUAGUGUAGCGGUUAGCACAUCUGCUUUACAUGCAGAAGGUUCUGGGUUCAUGCCCCAGUGGAGCCA
rnacentral:tRNA from 1 species